rnacentral:rRNA from 1 species
UUUCCUACGGGACGCAGCAGUGAGGAAUAUUGGUCAAUGGGCGCGAGCCUGAACCAGCCAAGUAGCGUGAAGGAUGACUGCCCUACGGGUUGUAAACUUCUUUUAUAAAGGAAUAAAGUGAGGCACGUGUGCCUUUUUGUAUGUACUUUAUGAAUAAGGAUCGGCUAACUCCGUGCCAGCAGCCGCGGUAAUACGGAGGAUUCAAGCGUUAUCCGGAUUUAUUGGGUUUAAAGGGUGCGUAGGCGGUCGGAUAAGUUAGAGGUGAAAUCCC